GAAGCUGCGGCAGCGACGCUGAUGCGUUGUUGGGUAGGGGAGCGUUCUGUAAGCCUGCGAAGGUGGCCUGUGAGGGUUGCUGGAGGUAUCAGAAGUGCGAAUGCUGACAUAAGUAACGAUAAAGCGGGUGAAAAGCCCGCUCGCCGGAAGACCAAGGGUUCCUGUCCAACGUUAAUCGGGGCAGGGUGAGUCGACCCCUAAGGCGAGGCCGAAAGGCGUAGUCGAUGGGAAACGGGUUAAUAUUCCCGUACUUGGUGUUACUGCGAAGGGGGGACGGAGAAGGCUAUGUUGGCCGGGCGACGGUUGUCCCGGUUUAAGCGUGUAGGUGUGUGUUCCAGGUAAAUCCGGUUCACUUUAACACUGAGGCGUGACGACGAGGCACUACGGUGCUGAAGCAACAAAUGCCCUGCUUCCAGGAAAAGCCUCUAAGCAUCAGGUAACAUCAAAUCGUACCCCAAACCGACACAGGUGGUCAGGUAGAGAAUACCAAGGCGCUUGAGAGAACUCGGGUGAAGGAACUAGGCAAAAUGGUGCCGUAACUUCGGGAGAAGGCACGCUGACACGUAGGUGAAGUGAUUUACUCAUGGAGCUGAAGUCAGUCGAAGAUACCAGCUGGCUGCAACUGUUUAUUAAAAACACAGCACUGUGCAAACACGAAAGUGGACGUAUACGGUGUGACGCCUGCCCGGUGCCGGAAGGUUAAUUGAUGGGGUCAGCGCAAGCGAAGCUCCUGAUCGAAGCCCCGGUAAACGGCGGCCGUAACUAUAACGGUCCUAAGGUAGCGAAAUUCCUUGUCGGGUAAGUUCCGACCUGCACGAAUGGCGUAAUGAUGGCCAGGCUGUCUCCACCCGAGACUCAGUGAAAUUGAACUCGCUGUGAAGAUGCAGUGUACCCGCGGCAAGACGGAAAGACCCCGUGAACCUUUACUAUAGCUUGACACUGAACAUUGAGCCUUGAUGUGUAGGAUAGGUGGGAGGCUUUGAAGUGUGGACGCCAGUCUGCAUGGAGCCGACCUUGAAAUACCACCCUUUAAUGUUUGAUGUUCUAACGUGGACCCGUGAUCCGGGUUGCGGACAGUGUCUGGUGGGUAGUUUGACUGGGGCGGUCUCCUCCUAAAGAGUAACGGAGGAGCACGAAGGUUGGCUAAUCCUGGUCGGACAUCAGGAGGUUAGUGCAAUGGCAUAAGCCAGCUUGACUGCGAGCGUGACGGCGCGAGCAGGUGCGAAAGCAGGUCAUAGUGAUCCGGUGGUUCUGAAUGGAAGGGCCAUCGCUCAACGGAUAAAAGGUACUCCGGGGAUAACAGGCUGAUACCGCCCAAGAGUUCAUAUCGACGGCGGUGUUUGGCACCUCGAUGUCGGCUCAUCACAUCCUGGGGCUGAAGUAGGUCCCAAGGGUAUGGCUGUUCGCCAUUUAAAGUGGUACGCGAGCUGGGUUUAGAACGUCGUGAGACAGUUCGGUCCCUAUCUGCCGUGGGCGCUGGAGAACUGAGGGGGGCUGCUCCUAGUACGAGAGGACCGGAGUGGACGCAUCACUGGUGUUCGGGUUGUCAUGCCAAUGGCACUGCCCGGUAGCUAAAUGCGGAAGAGAUAAGUGCUGAAAGCAUCUAAGCACGAAACUUGCCCCGAGAUGAGUUCUCCCUGAGACUUAGAGUCUCCUGAAGGAACGUUGAAGACGACGACGUUGAUAGGCCGGGUGUGUAAGCGCAGCGAUGCGUUGAGCUAACCGGUACUAAUGAACCGUGAGGCUUAACCUU
rnacentral:rRNA from 1 species